AUUCUCCUCAUCUCUAUCCAUCUACCGGAACCCAGGAUAAAAGGUACGUUGGAUAAACCCUACGGAAUCAUUUUUUUUACUAAAAGAGAGUGCUAUUUUUUUACCACAAAUGUUUCGACAUGCUUAGAUUGCCUUUGAUGAGAGAAUUACCACGAAUUCAAUAAAAGUAUUUUUUUUUUAUGUUUGCUCCUUGGAUAUGGAUGGAUGAUUUUGACGCGUCAUUAGUACGAUAUAGAAUUCGUAAUACUCGUUUAAUUAACGCCGUGAUCUAUAACUGUGUGUGAUCUGACUGCCACUAAUAAAUGGCCAGGUCUAAAAUGUGCAGCAAGCAAGCAAGCCAGUGGUGGUAGUAGUAUAUUUGAACGGUUGCUUAAACGAAAAGGCGAUGACUCAUCACUUACUCAUGUUAUUAGUCAAUGCCAAACCUACUUGGCUGAGCUCAUCCAUCUCGUUUCCAAACUACCAAGUAACACAACUGAUUUUAUGAGCUGUUUGGUACGUACAAAUUUCAUUGUUAAGAAAAAGGACACUGGAAAUGGUGGAGCUCACAAAUAUUAUCAAUGUUCCUGCAAAUUUACUUUUCUUUUUCUUUUUCAAAGACUACAAAUUUUGUUGGAACUAAUAACGGAGUCUAACAAAUUUAUUGAAAGACUGCAAUUAGGUUUCAGUACAAAAUUACGAAUUCUGGUGCCUACUUUCUUUUCUUAAUUUAAAGUUACACGCUCCUCCAAAAGUAUAGGAUGGCCGUUUACUGUUGAAAUAAGUAUUCAGUUUUACAAUUAAAUACUGCUACAAUAACCUAAUGCUAAUAUUUUGCUCGUGAGCAACUCUAUCUCUAAAAGCCUAGUAUAUUAUAUUUCCCCAAGUUCACUACUGCUACUACGGCUCAGCUCAACAACUCUGCUUUUGGUGAAGACGAAACGGUAGGAACAGGAGGCAAAUGACGUGGCAGCAAACGCCCAUCCGUUUCAUGGGGUAGCGUGUGGCCACGUACGUCGCCUGAUCCCCUCCUCUCUCUUCCCUCGGCCGCGGGUUACCCACCGCACAGGUUACCCCA
rnacentral:lncRNA from 1 species